CCUACGGGAGGCAGCAGUGGGGAAUAUUGCACAAUGGGGGAAACCCUGAUGCAGCGACGCCGCGUGAGUGAAGAAGUAAUUCGUUAUGUAAAGCUCUAUCAGCAGGGAAGAAAAUGACGGUACCUGAGUAAGAAGCCCCGGCUAACUACGUGCCAGCAGCCGCGGUAAUACGUAGGGGGCAAGCGUUAUCCGGAUUUACUGGGUGUAAAGGGAGCGUAGACGGCAGUGCAAGUCUGGAGUGAAAGGCGGGGGCGAAACCCCAGGACUGCUCUGGAAACUGUAAGGCUGGAGUGCAGGAGAGGUAAGUGGAAUUCCUAGUGUAGCGGUGAAAUGCGUAGAUAUUAGGAGGAACACCAGUGGCGAAGGCGGCUUACUGGACUGUAACUGACGUUGAGGCUCGAAAGCGUGGGGAGCAAACAGGAUUAGAUACCCCUGUAGUC
rnacentral:rRNA from 1 species